AGAGUAAAAAUGUAGUUCUUAUAUAAUGUCUUCAAACUAAAAUGACCAUCAACUUAAUAUAGACUGCUAUAGUCAGGAUGUUAUAUAUGAUCCUCAUGAUAACCCCAAAU